AUGGCCCACCCUAUUUACCCUCUAGCUUCGCCAAUGCACACAACCUCCUCCUUGACCCCUUUUGAUGCCCUCUCGUACAUCUUCUCCUUGUGCGCCCACAACCUCCUCCUCGACCCCUUUUACUGCCCUCUCAUACAGCUUCACCUUAAUGUUUUGGUUGAAUUUUGUGAUGCAAGUAACACGAGAUCAAAUAUGAUGGUGGUGAUUAAUCCCCAGAAUGAGAAUCUCGGUGCCCCUUAUGAAGGUGUACAUGUUGCUGUUGCUGAUCUAGAUAACCACAAUGUUGCUUUGGGUGACAAUGUUGCAGUACAUGCUGAUGUUGCAGUCAAUGCAGUUGAUCAUAAUGUUGCAGUACAACCAAAUGCUCCUACGAACAAUGAUGCCAAUGAUCAUAGUACUGUGCCUGGACUGCCUCCUGAUAAUGAUAUGAACAGCAAUACUGGUCCUGAGUUUAUCCCUCUGCCUGCUGCCUCCAGUCCUAUAUUUGUUCCUAGCAAUGUCAACAUGAACUAUAAUGAUAUUCCUUCCUCAAGUAAUGCACAAUCUAUUCAUACUAGUUGA
rnacentral:rRNA from 1 species